AGGCUCAGCAGCAUGUGGAGCCUCUACCACCAAGGAAAAGACAAAGUAAGUAAGCUUGCAUUCCACCACAUCUGUAAAUUUGUCCUAUGUUUUUUUUUGCAAUAACUGCACAAUAUAAAACAAGUUACAAAUGGGGAAUUUCACCUCUUUUAAUUAAUUAAGCCACUCCUCCAAGAUACUGAAUAUAAAAUUCUCAACCUUUUUCCCUUGCACCUUAAGCCCCACCAUCCAGCCCAGGCCAAGACAGACAAGCCCCACCAUCCAUCCAACCUCAACUAAAGAAAAGACAAAGUUGCAAAUGCAGUCGACAGACAAUUUAUCCAUAUGAUAAAAUAUUGGAAAGACGGAUGAUUGGGGUAAGAUGUAGAACCAUAUUUUUCAUUAGGCUGUCUGAUUAUCUCAUAUUGUCUCAUCUUUCAAUCCAAAUGUGACAAAACAGAAACUGAGCAGUAGGUAUCAAACUUUUUCAACUAUCAACCCUCUCACAAGAAAAAAAAGUAUACUUCAAGUUAAUUUUAUGAAGUAUACAUUUAACUGUACUUUAAUUUUAAUAACAUUUUAUUAGCUUCAUGCUUUCUUUUUUGUCCACACUUGAAUGUCUGUAAGUUUCAUAAAGGCAACAUUUUAAACAAAGAAUUUGAGAAAAUCAAAUUUGUGUUAAAGACUGCGACUUGAUUAGAUUCAGAACGAUGAUCAAGCAGUUUUAAGCAGUUUUGAUUUACAAGCUGUUUAAUAUUUGAUGAUCAUGUUAUUUUACAUUUGUGUAAAAUAUCACUUGGUUCAGCUUUUUCUUCUCGUGUGUUUAGUUUCUGUACUAAAUUAUGUGCCAUAGCGGAUCCUAUCGUAUGACAGUGAAAACAUGGAUAGCUGGAAAAUUCAGUCAAUGGUGGGGAAAGAGUAAAGUACAAUUAAAGUAAAUUCUGAUGUACUGAUGCCAGUGGACUAGCCUAGACAAAAUUUCAGAUAUGCUGAAUAAGAAACAUAUCUGUUUUAUAUCAAUAUUCUAAAUGAUAUUUUCACAAGUUUCAUAAGACUGUAUAUGAAAACUAUGUAAAGAAAAAAAGUUUAUUUAAUAGGCUACUCGAUAAAAACCGUUAACAAAACUAAAAGCCAAUUAUACUUUGAAUACUUAAUUAUAUGUUUAAGUAUAUCUCGAUCAAAAGAUAGAGUACAAGUAAAGGCCAAAUAUAAUUGGACUUUUCUCUCAGUAUAAGUCAAGUACACUUAAGUGUAAUAAUU
rnacentral:lncRNA from 1 species